AGUUUGAUCAUGGCUCAGAACGAACGCUGGCGGCGUGCCUAAUACAUGCAAGUCGAACGGCAGCACGGGGGCAACCCUGGUGGCGAGUGGCGAACGGGUGAGUAAAGCAUCGGAACGUGCCCUGGAGUGGGGGAUAACGUAGCGAAAGUUACGCUAAUACCGCAUAUUCUGUGAGCAGGAAAGCAGGGGAUCGCAAGACCUUGCGCUCUGGGAGCGGCCGAUGUCGGAUUAGCUAGUUGGUGGGGUAAAGGCCUACCAAGGCGACGAUCCGUAGCGGGUCUGAGAGGAUGAUCCGCCACACUGGGACUGAGACACGGCCCAGACUCCUACGGGAGGCAGCAGUGGGGAAUUUUGGACAAUGGGCGAAAGCCUGAUCCAGCCAUGCCGCGUGAGUGAAGAAGGCCUUCGGGUUGUAAAGCUCUUUCGGUGGGGAAGAAAUUGCAUAGGCUAAUACCCUGUGUAGAUGACGGUACCUGGAGAAGAAGCACCGGCUAACUACGUG
rnacentral:rRNA from 1 species